rnacentral:rRNA from 1 species
AUGUCGCCCAGCCCAGCCCCUUCUCCUAGAUCCCAAGGGGUCGGGGUGAGCACCGACGACCCCAUCGCUGCUCCUCCGCCCCACGCACGCUCGUCCACCUGGCUUCCUCCUAUGUCGUCGGCGGCGCAGCAAAGGCGGUCGAGCCGUCGGGGGAAGACGAAUGAGCUGCAGCCUACCGCGGGGCCCAAGGCGAAGCCUGCGCCGGCGGCAGCGAUGAUGGAGGUGGAGGUGGAGGAGCUCCCCAAGGCCAUGGCCGGCAUAGGUCAAGGAGGAGGGCAGAGGUGUGGUGGACAAGGACGCCAUGGCCGCUUUCACCACAGCGCCUACAUCUUCAUCCACUGCCUCUCCACCAAGGAUACAUAG